rnacentral:rRNA from 1 species
GACGAACCGUGCGAACGUUAUUCGGAAUCACUGGGCUUAAAGCGCGUGUAGGCGGGACGGCACGUCGGUCGUUGAAAUCCCCCGGCUCAACCGGGGAACGGGCGCCGAUACGACCGUCCUGGAGGGACGUAGGGGGACCUGGAACUUCCGGUGGAGCGGUGAAAUGCGUUGAGAUCGGAAGGAACGCCCGUGGCGAAAGCGAGGCCCUGGACCCGUUCUGACGCUGAGACGCGAAAGCCAGGGGAGCGA